rnacentral:rRNA from 1 species
UACGAAGGGGGCUAGCGUUGCUCGGAAUCACUGGGCGUAAAGCGCACGUAGGCGGAUCUUUAAGUCAGGGGUGAAAUCCUGGAGCUCAACUCCAGAACUGCCUUUGAUACUGGGGAUCUCGAGUCCGGAAGAGGUGAGUGGAACUCCGAGUGUAGAGGUGAAAUUCGUAGAUAUCGAGAGGAACACCGGUGGCGAAGGCGGCUUCCUGGACAGUGACUGACGCUGAGACGCGAAAGCGUGGGGAGCAAACAGG